UACGGAGGGUGCAAGCGUUAUCCGGAUUUACUGGGUUUAAAGGGUGCGCAGGCGGAUAUGUAAGUCAGUGGUGAAAUCUCCGGGCUUAACCCGGAAACUGCCGUUGAUACUAUAUAUCUUGAAUGCUGUGGAGGUAAGCAGAAUAUGUCAUGUAGCGGUGAAAUGCUUAGAUAUGACAUAGAAUACCUAUUGCGAAGGCAGCUUACUACGCAGAUAUUGACGCUCAUGCACGAAAGCGUGGGGAUCAAACAGG
rnacentral:rRNA from 2 species